AAUAAAAUGCUUCGCUGGGCGCAGCUUGAUACGACCGCAGAGGUCGAACCCUGAACAGUUGGGGCAAGUAUGGACACAACAUUCAAGCUUGAUACAGCUCUGAAUUUGGAUUGUGAUUAAAUAUUUGACACAGCAUAGGUUUCUGACACAGAAUGAAUAUGGUCUAAGAACUUAAAAAUUUUAAAUUGGACAUUCACCAAUUAUGGUCCAAUAUCCAAAAUCUAAAUACAUGGUUAGAUUCAGCAUAUCAAAGAACCCCAAGAAUUCAAUUUUUGAUGAAAUCAAACAAAGUUUAAUUUUGGACCCUUUUGACCUCAAUGUGGACAAAGUUGAUAACGG